rnacentral:rRNA from 1 species
GAUGAACGCUGGCGGCGUGCCUAAUACAUGCAAGUCGAGCGAACGGACGAGAAGCUUGCUUCUCUGAUGUUAGCGGCGGACGGGUGAGUAACACGUGGAUAACCUACCUAUAAGACUGGGAUAACUUCGGGAAACCGGAGCUAAUACCGGAUAAUAUUUUGAACCGCAUGGUUCAAAAGUGAAAGACGGUCUUGCUGUCACUUAUAGAUGGAUCCGCGCUGCAUUAGCUAGUUGGUAAGGUAACGGCUUACCAAGGCAACGAUGCAUAGCCGACCUGAGAGGGGGAUCGGCCACACUGGAACUGAGACACGGUCCAGACCCCUGCGGGAGGCAGCAGUGGGGAAUUUUCCGCAAGGGGCGAAAGCCUGACGGAGCAACGCCGGGUGGGUGAUGAAGGUCUUCGGAUCGUAAAACUCUUUUAUUAGGGAAAAACAUAUGUGAAAGUAACUGUGCACAUCUUGACGGUACCUAAUCAAAAAGCCACGGCUAACUACGU